rnacentral:rRNA from 1 species
UACGUAGGGUGCAAGCGUUGUCCGGAAUUAUUGGGCGUAAAGAGCUCGUAGGCGGUCUGUCGCGUCGGAUGUGAAAACCCAGGGCUCAACCCUGGGCCUGCAUUCGAUACGGGCAGACUAGAGUUCGGUAGGGGAGACUGGAAUUCCUGGUGUAGCGGUGAAAUGCGCAGAUAUCAGGAGGAACACCGGUGGCGAAGGCGGGUCUCUGGGCCGAAACUGACGCUGAGGAGCGAAAGCGUGGGGAGCAGACAGG